UUCGCAAUGCCCGAAAGGGUGACGAAGCGACGCCGCGCGGGUGAGGAAGGCCCUCGGGUUGUAAAGCCCUGUCAGGAGUUAAGAAAUGUAAGUGUGCUAAUAUCGCAUUUACUUGACGAAGGCUCCAAAGGAAGUCACGGCUAACUCUGUGCCAGCAGCCGCGGUAAUACAGAGGUGGCAAGCGUUGUUCGGAAUUAUUGGGCGUAAAGAGCACGUAGGUGGGUUUGUAAGUCAGAUGUGAAAGCCUCCUGUUCAACGGGAGAAUUGCAUCUGAAACUACUGAUCUUGAGUAUAGGAGGGGAGAAUGGAACUUCUGGUGGAGCGGUGAAAUGCGUAGAUAUCAGAAGGAACGCCGGCGGCGAAAGCGAUUCUCUGGCCUAUUACUGACACUGAGUGUGCGAAAGUUAGGGGAGCAAACGGGAUUAGAUACCCCGGUAGUCCUAACUGUAAACGAUGGGCACUAAGUAGAGGGGUUUU
rnacentral:rRNA from 2 species